rnacentral:rRNA from 1 species
CCUACGGGGGGCUGCAGUGAGGAAUAUUGGUCAAUGGACGUAAGUCUGAACCAGCCAAGUAGCGUGCAGGAUGACUGCCCUAUGGGUUGUAAACUGCUUUUAUGCGGGGAUAAAGUCAGCCACGUGUGGUUGUUUGCAGGUACCGCAUGAAUAAGGACCGGCUAAUUCCGUGCCAGCAGCCGCGGUAAUACGGAAGGUCCAGGCGUUAUCCGGAUUUAUUGGGUUUAAAGGGAGCGUAGGCUGUUGGUUAAGCGUGUUGUGAAAUGUAGAUGCUCAACAUCUGAAUUGCAGCGCGAACUGUCCGACUUGAGUGCGCGGAAAGCAGGCGGAAUUCGUUGUGUAGCGGUGAAAUGCUUAGAUAUGACGAAGAACUCCGAUUGCGAAGGCAGCUUGCUGUAGCGUAACUGACGCUGAAGCUCGAAAGUGCGGGUAUCGAACAG